rnacentral:lncRNA from 1 species
CUCUCCUCGUACCUAAACUUGUAUCUAUAUAUCCCUGUUAUAAGCUAGUUCUUAUUUAUACCCGAACCAAACGAAGCCUUAGUGUCGUAGCAAAUAAAUAAAUAUAAGUAUAUACAAGUAUAUAGAUGUCUUGUAUAUAAUCUCAUGAAACUUUAAAACACAAAAUAUAUUUCUUUAUUCUAACAUAUCAAAAAAUUAAAAAUCAAUGAUGGGUUCACAAAUUCUUUAAUCCUCAUAUUUAACUAUCAAACUUACUAGAUAAUAUAUAUAUAUAUAUAGAUAUAUAUAUAUAUAUAGAGCUAGGCUACUAUACUAUCUAUAGUACCGAGCUCCGGUACUAUAGUGUUGGUUUUCGAUUUUAGGGCGUUCAAAUCAAUGGUCCACACCGUUAAAACUGAUCUAGAGUAUUUAAAGUUUCUAGAAAUAAAAUUUUAUAUUUUUUCGACAUAGUUUACUUUAUGAUCAAACUAUUUCAAAAUUGUCAAUUUUCAAUGGCUAUUAUGACAAGUUUGGAGUUUAACGGUGUAGAAGAAUCUAAAUUUCUUCAAAUUUUGAUAGAAAAUACUUUAAACUAUAUAGAUUAAGGUUAACAUUCUUGAUCUUGAAUUUAAAAGUCCUAUGCUCAAAUUUUAAAGAUUAUUCAAUUUCCAC